AAUGAACGCUGGCGGCGUGGUUAAGACAUGCAAGUCGAACGGUGUUUCAGGUGUAGCAAUACAUUUGAAACGCAGUGGCGAACGGGUGCGUAACACGUGAACAAUCUACCUUUUAGUGUGGAAUAGCUCGCCGAAAGGCGGAUUAAUACCACAUGUGGUUGUCUCUCGCAUGAGAGGCAUACUAAAGUCAGGGACCGCAAGGCCUGACGCUAUUAGAGGAGUUCGCGGCCUAUCAGCUAGUUGGCGAGGUAACGGCUCACCAAGGCUAAGACGGGUAGAUGAUCGGAGAGGAUGAUCAGCCAAACUGGAACCGAGAAACGGUCAAGACACCUACGGGUGGCAGCAGUUUCGAAUCAUUCACAAUGGGCGAAAGCCUGAUGGUGCGACGCCGCGUGAGGGAUGAAGGUCUUCGGAUUGUAAACCUCUGUCACUGGGGAAGAAACGCUUUGAGCUAACAGUUCAAAGCCUGACUUAACCCGGAGAGGAAGCAGUGGCUAACUCUGUGCCAGCCGCCGCAGUAAGAC
rnacentral:rRNA from 1 species